GUCUAACCGGUGACAAGAUCUGCCCAGUAUAGAAUUCAAAGAUACCAUUGUUAUGAUCCCUUUUAUAAAGGAACCUGCCUGGCUUCUCCCAGUGCAGAGUUGAGAGCAAAUCCAGAGCUUCUUCCAAGAUGCUACUGAUCCUGCUCUCAGUGGCCUUGCUGGCCCUGAGCUCAGUUCAAGGCUCAGAUUCUGAAAGCAGCAGUGAAGAGUUUCGGAGAACCGUAUUAGAUAGAACCAGCUCAGACUCAAGCUCAGAUGAGGAUUUUUUCAUACGACGUCCUGGAAAACACAGAGAACGCAGAGGACCACCACCUUCUCCUAAUGAUGAAAACGAAGAUGAGGAAGCUCCACCAGGGCCACCCCCACCAGGGCCACCCCCACCCAGUGAUGAACCUCAGCCAAAUCCACCCCCACCAGAGGAGCAACCUGAGCAGAGUUCAGAUGAGGACUGACUAUCCAAGUAAUCUGAAAGUCAUUAACAGAGCAUGAGUGUGAACAUACCAGUCCUUCAGAAAGCCAUGACAUUGGAAGAAGGCACUCUGUCUUCAAUUUACCAAUAAAAUAAUCAGCAUCCAGUUUCUAAGUGUCA
rnacentral:lncRNA from 1 species